AGAUUGAACGCUGGCGGCAUGCCUUACACAUGCAAGUCGAACGGCAGCACGGGGGCAACCCUGGUGGCGAGUGGCGAACGGGUGAGUAAUGCAUCGGAACGUGCCCAGUAGUGGGGGAUAACUAGUCGAAAGAUUAGCUAAUACCGCAUACGACCUAUGGGUGAAAGCGGGGGAUUCGCAAGAACCUCGCGCUAUCGGAGCGGCCGAUGUCUGAUUAGCUAGUUGGCGGGUAAAGGCCCACCAAGGCUUCGAUCAGUAGCUGGUCUGAGAGGACGACCAGCCACACUGGGACUGAGACACGGCCCAGACUCCUACGGGAGCAGCAGUGGGAAUUUGGACAAGUGGGCGCAAGCCUG
rnacentral:rRNA from 1 species